AUAAAAUAUAGUAUAUUAUAGUAUAUCAACAAAUAAUAUAAAGAUGUUAAGAAUUCAUUUCAUAAGCAGGUUAAGGGUGACAAGUGAAAAACAUCUAGUUGAAAAAGUUCUGGUCUGAUCGAAAAUCAUAAUAUUUUAUGUAGCAACCCGACAGCUUAUUAUAACGGCAAUAAAUAGUUGUAAAUUCUAUAGCAGCACCAGUCCAUGUUUGCAUUGGUCUAAAUUGAGACAAUCCUUACUUAAGAAUGAUGAAUCUCACACUCCAUCUGAUCAUGUUCUUCAUCUCAUUGGCAAAGACCCACUCUAGAACUACCUGUGUCAAUACCACUACAAGUUUAUUAAAAAUAUGUUGGAUCCUUAUAGUUUCAUUAUAUAUUCUGAGUUAACUUUUUAACAUGCGACAAAUAUGCCACCACAAAAAAUGCAUUUCUGUGGCUAGACCUAAGUCAACCCCAUCUGGAGGAUGUCAGUCUGCUACAAAAACAUACUUACUAUUGAGGAUUCUACUAUUCAAACAUCAAACAUUAAAAAUCUCCUACAAUUCUGUACGGCAAAUAGCUACAUGGAAGUAUAGCUACAUAGUAAUACGAAUACAAUUUAAAGCAUAAUAAAUCAAGAAAAAUAAUAAUUCUUCUGUAAAACCCUGUAUUAAGUGUCAGUAUUGGAUCUCCAACCCAUUUAAUAAUCCUCCAAAAUCAAUGAAAGGACAGCUUCAAAUACACUGAAUUCAUACCAACACAAGAUAAGAAAAUAUUGCUAAACUUCAGCAUGACUCUGGCCUGGAGUGUUUAAUACCUUCUUAAAAACUCAAACCUCAAUUUUGACACACAUUAAAUUACUAAAAAAAAAAUAUCCAAUCCUAGUAAAUUAGUAAUGUCACAAUUUUUGUUGAGAGAGAUACAAAAUGUACAAGUAAGCAAUACCUUAACAAUUCAUAAAGAGAUAGGAAAUGUAUUCAAUAAAUCAACUAGAGAACCGAACUCAUGAAAAAAAGAAAGACUGUCCUCUCUGAUACAUGGUAUGUACGGGUGGUGUGGAACUUACAAAUAAACGGUUACUAAAGGUCUGAAAUAACUGUAAAAAUUCCCUUGGGGUAAUAGCAGGAUAAACAUCUGCAGUUGGGGCCAAGCAUCUGAAGCAAUCCCUCUAAAAACCAGAAAUGGCUUCAUCCAUAAUGAUUUUUUUUUUUUUUUUUUUUUUUUACCAGAUUAGUGAUAAUGAAUGUCAUACUAAACUCAAAUCUAAAAUAAAAGUUCAUCCCAAGCUAACAUAGGCCAGAGGCCCCAGACUUGGAACAGAUACUUAAAUGGCGAGGGGUUAAACAAGUUUUUCAAAAUCUCAACUAAAUGAAGAAGAAGCAACGCACAACAAUACGCACAGUAAAAAUCAUAAAGAGUCCAAUAUCAGAAUAAGUAACAAAUUAAACAAAACAAAAAUUGAAAAUGACGAUAUUACAAAAAUCAACAAGGGACUACGAACAGUUACCAACAUGCCAGCUCCAGACCUCAAUUAAACUGUUCGAAAAACUAUGUCUUGAAUAUACGAAAAUCUAGCACCAACCCGUCAUGGGGGUUUAAUAUCAUAUCACCAUAAAAUAUAUUAGAGAAACAUAACUCUUAUCAUACCUGCAACUGGUUUAAAAAUAAAGGAGUUUUAGUCUGAUGCAUAGAUGUGCAAGUGAAUCAAUAUUGAAGCCAAAAUAAGCCAUAUAUAUGCAGGCAACAGUAUUUCUACUUUAUAUAAGUUUGCUUUUAUGUUUUGUUAGUUUUUGAGGUAAAAGCUGACAUUUGUCCGUUGUAAAGUGUAUUACCAUAAAAGAUUGGAUGGUCAAUACCUGAAUGUGUAAGAUGACUAUGUAGGAGUGAAAUUAUUAUAAUGUAAACGCCCAUAAAUACAAAGCAAGAAUAACUGGAUCAACUCAGGCAAACGCAAAUUAAAAGAAUGACUAUGAGAACCCUAUACUAGAGUCUAAAUCCAUGUAAGCAGAAACAAACAUUUAGUAUAACAGCAGCAACCACUCUCUCUCUCUCUCAUCUUGGGUUUGAACCAGGUUGCCCAAAUGAAACCUUAUUUCCAUUAAAGGACAAGGUGAUUUGAACUUGGAUAUCACAAGAAGGCCUAUAUUAAUCAAAGUAAACCUGGUUAAAGUUACCUGUUAGGACAUCCAAAAGUUAUAAAGGAUGACCUGUGUUACACAAAAAACAAAACACAAACAAGUGCUUAACAACAUCUAGAUACCCUCAUAAUUAAAAGCAUAACAUUUCAAAUAGUCCCAGCAUUCAUGCUAACUGUUACUGAAAUUCAACCGGUACUAUAAUUUCAUAAUAAAUAACAACCAUAAUUUGGAAUCAACUGUUGCCAAGCAACCAGUAGGGCCAAUGAUUUAUGCAAAUGAAAAGUUCCUCGUAAUGCACCAGCCUAAAAUAACAAACGGCACCUAAACAUACAGUGUACGAUACUCAUAAAUUGGGCAACUUCUAGAAUUCCCAGGAUGAAGAUUACAAUACAUUCUAGACUAGUAUAUAUAUAUAAAUUAAAGCUGUUUUCGACACCUAAAUACUAAAGAUUUUUAACGGUGGAGCAGACUGCAAGACAAGCUGUAAAUAAUUACUUAGUUUGUACUAGAUUUGCUAAUAUUACAUGUACACAUAUCCGUUUAACUGCUACUACUGACAAAUUUAAAUUACACAAAACUUGAAAUAGUCUCAUUUAAAAGUUGAUUACAAGAUAAAACCAUUGGACCCCUUUUUUCCCUUAAU
rnacentral:lncRNA from 1 species